GGAGGCGCGGCAGUUUGAUAGUAUGUGCAACGCUGCAGAAGUCUUGUUUAUUUACAGAGUGCUUAGUUUGUAAAGUCUUUAACUCGAUCACCGGUGUUACCGCUCUAGGUCGUAGUUAUAUUUUGGGACCGCACCCGGUUAUUGAUCGCAUGGAUUAGUAGCAACAUUGUUGCGAAGCUUUGACAUACAAACCAUCAGACGGACAGACUGUGCAACUGCAAGCCUGAAGUCAACAGCUAAGACCACCUCUCUCUCUAUCGCUCCAGUGCUUUUCACUGCAGCAGAAUUUAUUUUAUUUCAAUGCGCUUCCCUUUGAUGAUCAGUGUCACUGGCCUAUUAUUGCCCUGCCAGACGUAUUUGGGUUGACAUUUUAUUUAAAGGGAGGUUGCUUGUGAGUUUGUGUAUUGUUAUUUGAACUGUAUUGAUGUGGUGUGGUACUAUUGACAUGUGGCCGAGAAGAUUGGACAUUUUAAGGCCUUUGUUUUGUCUAUGAACACUAUCAAAGCAUCUCUCCAUCUCUACUGUAAUGUCAAUUAUAGUGCUUGUAAGGAAGUCGCACCAAUCUAAACCGGUUACAGCCAGUUGGCUCUGGACUUGCCAGGGAGAUUUGUAGCCAUGUUUGAGCUUGGCCUGGCCAUUGACAAACGUAAAGUGCUUCACAUCAGGUACAGUCAACAUUAGGGCACUUUCUCAGCUAGCCCAAAGGGUUGUGCUGCAGAAGGGUCAUAAACUUUCCCAUCAGGGCAUUCCCCAAGAUGGGGUGAAUCUGGGCACACAAAGAAACCAAAAGUUUUGAUCAAGACAUUAAAUAAUUCAGAGUAGUUCUGUAGAACCUCUGGCUCAAACUAAAGACUCUUCUCAUAGCUUCAGUUUUUGGUCACCUUUAAACAGUCUCAUGGAUAAGGCCUAGCUAGAUGACUUCCCACAUGUGGCAUGCAUCCCUAAACCGGCUAGCAGUCACACAUGGUUUCCUCAUUUCCGUCCAUAGUGGACAGGCAGACUGCUCGACCGUGUCGUUCUCAAUAGCAGAUGGCAAUGCUGGUGACACCUUUAUGCUCUCCAAGUGGCAAAACUGAGUGCAAGUAAGGACAAAUUUAAAAUGACUGUGCAAUUCAGUUUCUUUUACUGGGAUUUGAGGGAAUGCAUGCAUAUCUGGAUGAUGUAGAAUCUCUCUGGUGACAGUUGGGGGAGACUGAUAUGACAGCACUGACCCGCAGGGCACUGGACCAAAAUCUAGAAUCAGAGUCAUUUCUUCCAGUCCAUGCAGCACAUUGGCAAUGGUAGGAUGUGGUCUCAUGCUCCAUAAACUUGGUCCAGCAGAUGGCACCAUCAUGUCAGGAAGGGGCCUUGAAACACAUAAAGCAGAAUAGACGAGGAAUGAAUGUCAGCCAAGAUUGCAAAACUCUAGUCCAAUAAAUGUCAACACACGAGUGAAGGCAACGUGUGAGUAUACUGGGGACAGCCUAGGGAUGCCAACUUGUUUAAAGAGAAUUGCACCUCACCAGAGAAUGCUUGGUAAAUAGUGGAUUUUAUGCCACUCCUGCUUGAUGUCCUUGGCUUCCUCUCAACCAUUUCAUCAUUGAGCUCUGAUCGAAUCCCCUGGUUAACAAAAAUCAUACAAAAGAUUCAGGAUGAAUGUAAAACAGUGUGCAGCAAUAUGAGUUCACAAAAAUGCUAAAUGUGUGUUCUCUAUGAUUUUAAUAUGAAAAAUGUUCCAUUUCAAAACUCACCUGUCCUUGGCCUGUGCCAUGACGACAGUACCCCUGUGCAAGGCAAUGGUGGUGGCACAGUCUUCAACCCCAUUGUGGUGUAAUGUGCUGUCUGGAAGAGUAGAGUCACCAGAUGAUUGCACAAAGCUCUCCCAGCUGCACAUGAACAGAAGAAGCGGUUUAUAAUGAUGGGUUCCUUGGGUGCUCGCAAUUUGAUCUAAAUGAUGUAAGGGGUUGGGGGGGGGUCAUCACAUAGUUGUCAUGACUGUCCUGUUCAGGUCAGGUUAACAUGGACCACAAUCCUACAGAGACAUCUUUCACACCCACCAGAGAGGAAGAGAUCGAGAGGUAUGGAAGUGGGAGAGGGGGGUUUAUAACACCUCACGCCCAUUGUAAAUCACAAGGCAGCAGACAAAAUCCCUUUGUCCUCUCACUAUGGAGGAAUGGGAUGCAUGAUGGGCCUAUGAAUAACCUGCCUCAGAACAUUAACAUGCAAUAAAUGGACUUUGGGACAAUAUGUUUCGUCAGCCAAAAUGGUAACAGUGACGAGAGAUGGAAUAUGAAAAUUAAUGUUGUUUUUGUUAUGUUAUUAAAAGUUAAUAACAUACAUUGUAACUUGAAGAGUUUUCACACUAUGUACUUGAGGUUUGCAUACUGUACGUUGUGUGGAAAAUGUCCCGAUCAAAGAUAAUGUUUUUGUAAAGUUGAAGUUAGUUGUCUAAAUUGGAUCUGAGUAAAAUCCAGACCUUCCCUCGUAACUAGUUACGCCCAGAGAAUUGCCCUGAAGGCGUAAAUGCCCAUUUCUGAGCAGAGGGUAUAAAACAUGUGAGUUAAGAAUUAAUAUAUCAGACUAAGUGACCCUGAGCUGCAGCCAAGGUCUGAGUGGUCAGCAAACCCAAAACGCAACACGAGGUUGAAGAAGACAAAGGAACCUUUUUACAACCUAUGCUAGAGGUGAGUAGCUGCUUCUAAGGGGGUGAAUUCAAGCAGGACCAUCCGGUCACCACUCCAAGGAAUCGUGUGUCUACACUGUUUUCAUUCCCACGCUGGAACCAUCCACACGGCUGAUUAGCCCACCUCCAAAGACCCCUUUUCAAAGCAAGGGCGAGGAAACAGACCACUCAGAGAAAAGACACUGACAUUGUGAGGAUAAACAGAGUUACACCCGGUAACCGAAGACGAACCAUCAUCAGAGAAGUCCGAGUCCGGUCCACACAGAGACACUCCAUCGGAGACCUUCAACACUUGGAUUAUUUUCCUGUGAGAAACUGGUGAAAUUAAGCCCCAGGUCAUACCAAUGGCUCUAACUGUGGCCAUAAUGGUGAGAGAAAAGAUGACAUAGAGAGCCACCUCAGCAUUGCCAGGUGAGAUCUGCCCGGAUGCUCACACUCUGGACUGGCAUGGGAGGAGGAGGAAGGGUGUAUUUGUCAGAUGGAGAACGAAAAGGAAAUUGGAGACCUGCCUAAUUUUCAGAAUGGUACAGCUGUGCCAUAUCGGGGCCGAGUUGUUCCAUUUCGGGAUUGACCGAGAGAAAAAGGGCUAGAGAGAGACAGGACUGAGCAGAUGAGGAGGAAACUCAGGCUCUUCCCAGAAUGCAUGACUUUCUUCAGAAUGCCCUGGAUCAACUGGAGACAACGUGCCACACCUGACGGUCCAAAUGGGAAGCUCUCUGAAGCGACUGAGAGAUGCAACCAUGGUGGAGGAAGGGGCCAAAUGUUCACCGGGGUACAGGAAGCUGCCAUUGUAAACUUGGUUUUGGAAAAUAAUUAAAUCAGAUUCCGAGAAAUUCAAAGCCACAUCAUCCAAGACAACACCAUAUUCAACAACAGUCAAUGAGUCAGUCUGUCCACAUUGGCUCGCAUUCUCAAGCGAAACCAAAUCAGAAUGAAACAACUUUAUAAGGUGCCGCUUGAGAGAAACUCUCAAAGAAACAAAGAGGUCAGACGAGCAUAUGUGGAUGGAGUACUGGAAAUGGAUUCACAUGCAAUCCCACAUGAGUUCAUCUUUAUAGAUGAUGCUGGGUUCAACCUAGCAAAGACCAGAAGAAGGGGGAGAAACGUCAUUGGCCACAGAGCCAUUAUAGAUGUUCCUGGCCAACGUGGUGGGAACAUCACAAUGUGCGCUGCCAUCUCCAAUACGCAUGGUGUCCUCCACCGUCAUGUGUUGGGGAAUAAUCAGAAUUAGUUGGUAACAUAGGUAAGAUGUUUUAUAUUCAUCUUAUGUUUGUAAGUUACUUCUCAUCAGAAUGUUUUUGUCUUGUACUGUGGCGGGAUUUGCAGUCAUCUGGUCUCUGUCAAGACUAAGUUACGUGGGCUGGAGAGAGGGGAGAGGUCAAGCGUGGAUCUCUUGGCUCCACAAUGUCUGUGUGCCAGUAAAUGUGUCUCUGUGAUCUUGUCAAGAUAGGAUGGAUUUGAUAUAUGGCUGUUGAUAUGGAGGAUUUGUUUAUGGUUCUGAGUUUGAGAAAAUAACAUAGUUUAGGAGACAAAGCUGAACGAUAAAUUAUGCCAAUGCUGUCUGGCUAUGUGUGUCUUUGCUCUAAAGGAUCUCAGUUGCAAUGUGUAAGGGACUCUCAGAGAAUUCAUCUGAGAGUCACAGGGUUGUGAUGGAGCUCAUAUAAUUAAAGAUGGACUUUGUGAUAACUAA